rnacentral:lncRNA from 1 species
AUAAUAUAUAUAUAUAUAGAUAUAUAUAUAUAUAUAUAUAUAUAUAUAUUCCAAGUUAUAGCUUGAUUAACACACUUAUAUCAGAUUUCCAGAGUUGGAAAAUAAACUGGCUUGAUCGGGCUCAAAAUUUAUCAGGCUUGUUCUAGGAGUUGGAUGGGGGGCCUCAGCAACAAAGAAGAUUAAAGCAAUAAACCGACCUUGAGCAUCUAAAGAAGCAUGUUCUCUUCAGUAUUCGGCAGGGUAGACUGUCCUCACCCUAAAAGAGAAGGAUGGAGGGGAAGUUUUUUCUGUCCUACCAUUUAAUCCUUCCCCAUCUGUCCAUUCCUCUUUAGUUUUCCUGAAUAUUUUUCUUUGUUCUCCCAGCCAUUUCCAUCCACGGCUGAAUUGGGCGACUGACUGGUUUUCCUGACUGUUUUUCCACGUUCUACAGGUUAAUUCCAUCCUAAAACGAUUUGCGCUAUUAAACUCCUUAAACUGAUCUUCAUAAUACGUUAUGUAUGUUCUACCGGGUAUUUCACUCAAUCCAGAAACAAAUCCGAUUCGAUCAAGCUCUGAAAACUUCGUUUAGAGAGCAAGAUUUUAGGGUAAGAGAACCAAAAAUAUGCGCACAUAUUAAUCAACUAAACUUCCGGCAGGCAACCGAAAUCCAACAAUUGGUAAGAUCAGUAGAAAUCCAGGAUUAUCAAUCGGAAUCAGCAUCAUCAAGGUGACCGAGGAGACUGGCAUGGCGACGCUGUAAAACGUCUAUUCUGAAACAUACGAUCCAAUAUGGCGUUCGCGUUGGAUUUGCAUUCUCCGCACUGAGACCAGAGCCUGUGGCGGCGGAAUCAAAGGCCGCUAUGCUAUGCGUGCCACGGGCAGCGAUUACCAGGUACCACAGGGUCCACAGAUAAUCCCGGCCAAGGAAUCAGAGCCAUGCUUACCUCCUUCCUCCGUAUCUUCCGCUAAUCCCCCUCUCCUAUUCCGCUGUCUGAAGACCGUGGAGAGGGCGGGCGCUCGAUGAUGCCGUCGGAGCCUGGCCACCGGCGGCGCCGCCGUCUCUCUGGGCGUGCCCUCAGAGGCGGCGCAUUCCCGUCUCCGGUGAGAAUAGACGGCGGCGGAAGGGAUUGAAUUUCUUCGGAGAACCAUCGACAAGACCG